rfam:Desulfotomaculum nigrificans CO-1-SRB chromosome, complete genome.
AAUACCUUUAAAUUGGUCCAGAGAGGCUGACAAGGUUAUCCCGGGUUGGGAUUCAGGCGCAGCAAUAUUUAUCAAGUGAUAUGUAGCGCUUUGUCGGCCUCAAUCAGGUAAAUUAUCUGAUUGAGGCUUUUUCAU